UGGGGAAUAUUGGGCAAUGGGGGAAACCCUGACCCAGCAACGCCGCGUGAAGGAAGAAGGUUUUCGGAUCGUAAACUUCUAUCCUUGGUGAAGAGAAGAAGACGGUAGCUUACCAGAAAGCCACGGCUAACUACGUGCCAGCAGCCGCGGUAAUACGUAGGUGGCAAGCGUUAUCCGGAAUUAUUGGGCGUAAAGGGUGCGUAGGCGGUCAAUUAAGUCUGAGGUGAAAGAUCACAGCUCAACUGUGGUAUGCCUUGGAAACUGAUAGACUAGUGUGCAGGAGAGGGCAAUGGAAUUCCAUGUGUAGCGGUAAAAUGCGUAGAUAUAUGGAGGAACACCAGUGGCGAAGGCGGUUGCCUGGCCUGUAACAGACGCUGAAGCACGAAAGCGUGGGGAGCGAAUA
rnacentral:rRNA from 1 species